rnacentral:rRNA from 1 species
AUUGAACGCUAGCGGGAGGCUUUACACAUGCAAGUCGAACGAGUGGCGGACGGGUGAGUAAUAUAUCGGAACGUGCCCGGUAGCGGGGGAUAACUACUCGAAACAGUAGCUAAUACCGCAUACUAUCGGAUCUGCCCAUAUCGGAUUAGCUAGUAGGUGGGGUAAAGGCUCACCAAGGCAACGAUCCGUAGCUGGUCUGAGAGGACGACCAGCAACACUGGGACUGAGACACGGCCCAGACUCCUACGGGAGGCAGCAGUGGGGAAUUUUGGACAAUGGGGGAAACCCUGAUCCAGCCAUCCCGCGUGUAUGAGAAGGCCUUCGGGUUGUAAAGUACUUUUGGCAGGGAAGCGGUAUCUGCAGAAUAAGCACCGGCUAACUACGUGCCAGCAGCCGCGGUAAUAC